rnacentral:sRNA from 2 species
UUUUCAUGGGUGCCUUUUCCCUACAAUUUACUCUAUUCCUAAUCCUCCUCCCUCUAGUGGCCACCAAUGCAAUUCUUUACCUCUGGCUGGGAGAGCAGGACAGUUGGCUUCCUUCAAAGCCAACACCCUUGCUGCUGCAUGGACUGGUGUCCAAAGACAGGAGGUGGUCUGUAAAAGGUUGGAUGACAACUCCAUUGUCCAGAACAAUUACUGUGACCCUGACAGUAAGCCACCUGAAAAUCAAAGAGCCUGCAACACUGAGCCCUGCCCACCUGAGUGGUUCAUUGGGGAUUGGUUGGAGUGCAGCAAGACUUGUGAUGGUGGGAUGCGCACAAGGGCAGUGCUCUGCAUCAGGAAGAUCGGACCUUCUGAGGAGGAGACGCUGGACUACAGUGGUUGUUUAACACACCGGCCUGUCGAAAAAGAGCCCUGCAACAACCAGUCAUGUCCACCACAGUGGGUGGCUUUGGACUGGUCUGAGUGUACUCCAAAAUGUGGUCCAGGAUUCAAGCAUCGGAUUGUUCUGUGCAAGAGCAGUGACCUUUCUAAG